rnacentral:rRNA from 1 species
GCUCGUAGUUGGAUUUCGGUUGAGAACGGCCGGUCCGCCGUUUGGUGUGCACUGGCUGGUCUCAACUUCCUGUAGAGGACGCGCUCUGGGUUAACGCUCGGACGCGGAGUCUACGUGGUUACUUUGAAAAAAUUAGAGUGUUCAAAGCGGGCUUACGCUUGAAUAUUUCAGCAUGGAAUAACACUAUAGGACUCCUGUCCUAUUUCGUUGGUCUCGGGACGGGAGUAAUGAUUAAGAGGAACAGUUGGGGGCAUUCGUAUUUCAUUGUCAGAGGUGAAAUUCUUGGAUUUAUGAAAGACGAACUUCUGCGAAAGC